rnacentral:rRNA from 1 species
CCUACGGGUGGCAGCAGUGGGGAAUAUUGCACAAUGGGGGAAACCCUGAUGCAGCGACGCCGCGUGAGUGAUGAAGUAUUUCGGUAUGUAAAGCUCUGUCAGCAGGGAAGAAAAUGACGGUACCUGACCAAGAAGCACUGGCUAACUACGUGCCAGCAGCCGCGGUAAUACGUAGGGGGAAAGCGUUAUCCGGAUUUACUGGGUGUAAAGGGAGCGUAGACGGCAGGGCAAGUCUGGAGUGAAAGGCGGGGGCUCAACCCCCGGACUGCUCUGGCAACUGCGAGGCUGGAGUGCCGGAGAGGUAAGGGGAAUUUCUAGUGUAGCGGGGAAAUGCGUAGAUAUUAGGAGGAACACCAGUGGCGAAGGCGGCUUACGGGACUGUAACUGACGGUGAGGCUCGAAAGCGUGGGGAGCAAACAGGAUUAGAUACCCUUGUAGUC